rnacentral:rRNA from 1 species
AUUGAACGCUGGCGGCAGGCCUAACACAUGCAAGUCGAGCGGAUGAAGGGAGCUUGCUCCUGGAUUCAGCGGCGGACGGGUGAGUAAUGCCUAGGAAUCUGCCUGGUAGUGGGGGAUAACGUCCGGAAACGGGCGCUAAUACCGCAUACGUCCUGAGGGAGAAAGUGGGGGAUCUUCGGACCUCACGCUAUCAGAUGAGCCUAGGUCGGAUUAGCUAGUUGGUGGGGUAAAGGCCUACCAAGGCGACGAUCCGUAACUGGUCUGAGAGGAUGAUCAGUCACACUGGAACUGAGACAGGGUCCAGACUACUGCGGGAGGCAGCAGUGGGGAAUAUUGGACAAUGGGCGAAAGCCUGAUCCAGCCAGGCCGCGUGUGUGAAGAAGGUCUUCGGAUUGUAAAGCACUUUAAGUUGGGAGGAAGGGCAGUAAGUUAAUACCUUGCUGUUUUGACGUUACCAACAGAAUAAGCACCGGCUAACUACGUG